rnacentral:lncRNA from 1 species
GCUGCGAGCGGCUGGAGAUUGUUGGCGGUCGGCGAGGCAGAGGGAGGCCUAAGAAGUAUUGGGGAGAGGUGAUUAGGCAGGACAUGACUACAAUGCAGGUUUCCGAGGACAUGACCCUUGAUAGGAAAGUCUUGAGGUCUAGAAUCAGGGUUGUAGGAUAGGGGCUCCUAGAGUUUUUCGUACGCCUCCUCCGGGGUUGGGUGUGGGUCGGCAGGGUUACCCAUAGAUGACUUGUGUUUUAG